GUUAUUUUUAGAUCAGCCUCUGUUUGAAUACCUUUCAUUUCAUUUUAAAUGCAGAUUGAUUGGACAACCGCUGUGGACAGCUUUUCAUAAGCCAAAUUUGGACGGCAUAUGGUAUAAAGGGACAAAAUGUGGUAAUCCCUUGGACAAGACAUCUUACAACACAUUUGACAAUGAUGACGCCACCAAGCGACAAUGUGUCUUACUAAACACAACAAGUAAUCCUAGUAAUAUAGAUUUCAGCUGGUAUGCAGCAUCAUGUCAUGAACGCCACUCCUUUAUUUGCAAUAACCAUUUAGGCAAGUAUUCAAUUUAUAAAAAAGAAAGUGAGUGCCCACAUAACAAGAGUUUCUUUGAUAUUGUGUUUACAAUUGUUUACUAUGAAUGUGAUCCAAAUCAGCAUGCAUCAAAAUCACAGGGGCGUUUAUCUUCAAUCGAAAAGAAAAACGUUAAUAUUCCCGUGAUCAUCUGUGAAAGGAUACAUGUAAAGUUAUAAGAUAUUUACUGUAAGCGUCCAUACCUCACUUAAACCUGACCUAGACAGAUUUCGUCGUAACAAUUGUCACUAUAACGUGAGUGAAUAUCAUGCCAAUUAUAACAGUUUCUUUAAAAAAAAAAUACGUAACUAAAUGUGUUUGUUUGAUUAUAUCAAUGUUUAUUAAAUUAUGCCCGGGAAAAGGAACUUAUCGUUUGGUUACAUAUGAAUAAACAAGGUUCUACAUAACCCCAACAAGACCCACGGUAUAAGUCAAGAGAAUGCACGACAGUAUGUGUUUCUUGUUCUGAUUACAAUCUAGAUACUGGAUAUCUGAAGGAGUACGUAGGAAUGGCGAAACUAAAGAAGGAUGAGCUGGAUGAGGUCAAAACUUUCAAUUCCUCGUCACCUGAGGACUGUAAACAGCAGUGUGAUAACUAUGGAAACUAUUACUGCGAGUUCAACUCUUCAUCAGCUACGUGUGCUAGAUCUCGGCGUGAUAUUGAAUAUUUACCUUUCGAGUUCAACCUUACCUUUGUUGACAACGAUACAAUUUCAUACGUGAAAAGUCAACAUAACAAAGUUGUCACAACAACAGUUGCUGUCCCCAAUAAUACCUAUAACUACACAAACCUACCUUGUAAGUGUAUCGUUGUAUUCCUAUGUUACCUAUAACUACACAGACCUACCGUGUAAGUACAUUGUAGUGGGCCAAUGUUACCUAUAACUGCACAGACCUACCUUGUAAGUAUAUUGUAGUGUUCCAAUGUUAGCUAUAAUUAAACAGACCUACUGUGUUAUGACAUCAAUAUCUAUAAAAUGACUUCGAUAUUGUUUUCUUUACUGUAUCUAAACACCAUUUAUUUAUUUCAAGCAGUUAUUACUAAUUAUAACGAUGAAAACCGAAGACGAUAAUUAUAUACAAAUAUGUAUGACAUUUUUGUGAUACUUUGUACGCAAUGCAGUUAAUAGUUCUUUAUUUUAGGCUACAAAGAUCCUGUGCUGACAACAACAACAACUAUUAUCAGUUCGCAGCAAUCAACGGAUGGUGACAUAUCCGCGGUGACUGUCGAUCCCGGUGUAAGCAAUACAGUCAACAUCAGUCCGGAGAAUGUAGAACAACUUGUUGUUGAUAUAAGAGAGGAGAACACGAUUGAUGUUAAAACUCUUUCCUCAUACCGGAAUAAAUUGAUAUCCAUUCAGGAUAAUCGACCCUCGGCAAAAACUAUUGGAUGGGUUGGUGCAAUAUUUAUAGGUUUGCUGACUGGACUAAUAGUGGUGUCAGAUGUGCCAAAAUUUAUAAAGGACAUAAAGUCACUACAUACGGCGCAACCAGGACACACUGUACGAACUGAACGGCAAUUUGUUGUUAAAUCGUCACAAGUAAGGAGGAUCACAUUGUUGAAAUUGCGACGAAAUUCUAUCUAGUCAUGUAUCUACUACACACAUAGUAGCUCCGGCAAAUGUCAUUGUACAGACAUUAUGACAUCGUUCUAUCAU